UUGUGGGGUGCCAGGGAAUUCGAGCGGGUGCGACGCUGCCGAGCGGCAGGCGGCCAAAGCCGUGAUGUCGCUUUGCAGCUGCCGUCUCGUUUGCUGACGGGAGGACGGGGCCAGGGCAGGGAAGCGGGGCAGGCCAGCCUCGCCGGGGCCAGGCCUCACCCACGUGCCAGCAGCUCCGGCCCACGUCCUGGAAGCCUGAACGGUGACGGCCUGGCCUGUAGCAGCUCCUUUUGCUCCGGUCGUUUCGCCCACUUCGGCGUUUUCCGUCCAUUUGCUAGCUGGUUCCUGCACUUCAGAAAGCAGAACAGGAAGCAAGUGUCUGAGGCAAUCGGGAAGUCCACCCCAUCAGAACCAGGGAAUCAUUCGGCUCUGAAGGAAGUAACUAGCAAAACGCCUACAGCAGCUUCUGGUUUGCGUCCUCGUGACCGGGCUGAGCUCCUCCGUCCCCGGGGGGUCCUCCGGCCGAGGCUGCCGGGUCGGGGCCAACCAGUCCCACUCGGCCGGUGCAAGCCGGUCUGGAACCGGACAGCCCCGUCUCCGGCCCCGUUGGGCCGCGAGCCCCCGGGGACGAGCCACCGGCUGCUGAGCGCGCUCUGCCCUCGCCGAGCGACUGAUGCUGCUCCCGCGGCCCGGGCCCUUGCUGGCUGCAGAGCAGGUGGCAGCGAGUCUUUUGUGACUUGCUCUGCUCUGCCUGUUCCCCCACUGGCGCCGGGAAAGCUGCGCCAGGGCAGGACGGGCUUUCCUCCAGCAUCCAGGCGAGGAAAAGCGGCGUCCAAAGCGGUCAGGAGCGUAGCCCCGCGGUCAGUCACCUCUUCCGCAGAGACCGAGGUGGAGCAGGGCUGCAGGGACACGCCGCCCGGCCCUUCCCCGUGCGGGGGGCCGUCUCUCCCGGGGUCCCGUGUCCUGUCCGGUCUCACGCUCCGGUGCUUCGGGAUGGAAGGAGAACGACCGUCCUGCAGAGCGUCGUCGUUAAUGGAGGCCAGGGCUACCGUCAGAUGCCUUCGAUCUGCCCGUGCGUCUGUCUCCUGGUUCGGCCUCGUGGUUUGA
rnacentral:lncRNA from 1 species